rnacentral:siRNA from 1 species
AUGCAUGCUCCAAAAUCGAAAGAG